GGGUUGUGAGGUUAAGCGACUAAGCGUACACGGUGGAUGCCCUGGCAGUCAGAGGCGAUGAAGGACGUGCUAAUCUGCGAUAAGCGCCGGUAAGGUGAUAUGAACCGUUAUAACCGGCGAUUUCCGAAUGGGGAAACCCAGUGUGAUUCGUCACACUAUCAUUAACUGAAUCCAUAGGUUAAUGAGGCGAACCGGGGGAACUGAAACAUCUAAGUACCCCGAGGAAAAGAAAUCAACCGAGAUUCCCCCAGUAGCGGCGAGCGAACGGGGAGGAGCCCAGAGCCUGAAUCAGCAUGUGUGUUAGUGGAAGCGUCUGGAAAGGCGCGCGAUACAGGGUGACAGCCCCGUACACAAAAGCGCAUGUGCUGUGAGCUCGAUGAGUAGGGCGGGACACGUGGUAUCCUGUCUGAAUAUGGGGGGACCAUCCUCCAAGGCUAAAUACUCCUGACUGACCGAUAGUGAACCAGUACCGUGAGGGAAAGGCGAAAAGAACCCCGGCGAGGGGAGUGAAAAAGAACCUGAAACCGUGUACGUACAAGCAGUGGGAGCACAGGUUUACCUGUGUGACUGCGUACCUUUUGUAUAAUGGGUCAGCGACUUAUAUUCUGUAGCAAGGUUAACCGAAUAGGGGAGCCGGAGGGAAACCGAGUCUUAAUUGGGCGUUAAGUUGCAGGGUAUAGACCCGAAACCCGGUGAUCUAGCCAUGGGCAGGUUGAAGGUUGGGUAACACUAACUGGAGGACCGAACCGACUAAUGUUGAAAAAUUAGCGGAUGACCUGUGGCUGGGGGUGAAAGGCCAAUCAAACCGGGAGAUAGCUGGUUCUCCCCGAAAGCUAUUUAGGUAGCGCCUCGUGAAUUCAUCUCCGGGGGUAGAGCACUGUUUCGGCUAGGGGGCCAUCCCGGCUUACCAACCCGAUGCAAACUGCGAAUACCGGAGAAUGUUAUCACGGGAGACACACGGCGGGUGCUAACGUCCGUCGUGAAGAGGGAAACAACCCAGACCGCCAGCUAAGGUCCCAAAGUCAUGGUUAAGUGGGAAACGAUGUGGGAAGGCCCAGACAGCCAGGAUGUUGGCUUAGAAGCAGCCAUCAUUUAAAGAAAGCGUAAUAGCUCACUGGUCGAGUCGGCCUGCGCGGAAGAUGUAACGGGGCUAAACCAUGCACCGAAGCUGCGGCAGCGAACGUAUCACCCAAGACAACUUUACGGAGUUGACGAUUGACGGAGCGAAGCGACGUCAAAGCGUUCAUUAAAGUCGAGUUGGCUUAGGGAUACGUUCGUUGGGUAGGGGAGCGUUCUGUAAGCCUGUGAAGGUGUGUCGUGAGGCAUGCUGGAGGUAUCAGAAGUGCGAAUGCUGACAUAAGUAACGAUAAAGCGGGUGAAAAGCCCGCUCGCCGGAAGACCAAGGGUUCCUGUCCAACGUUAAUCGGGGCAGGGUGAGUCGACCCCUAAGGCGAGGCCGAAAGGCGUAGUCGAUGGGAAACGGGUUAAUAUUCCCGUACUUGGUGUUACUGCGAAGGGGGGACGGAGAAGGCUAUGUUGGCCGGGCGACGGUUGUCCCGGUUUAAGCGUGUAGGUGUGUGUUCCAGGUAAAUCCGGUUCACUUUAACACUGAGGCGUGACGACGAGGCACUACGGUGCUGAAGCAACAAAUGCCCUGCUUCCAGGAAAAGCCUCUAAGCAUCAGGUAACACGAAAUCGUACCCCAAACCGACACAGGUGGUCAGGUAGAGAAUACCAAGGCGCUUGAGAGAACUCGGGUGAAGGAACUAGGCAAAAUGGUGCCGUAACUUCGGGAGAAGGCACGCUGACACGUAGGUGAAGUGAUUUACUCAUGGAGCUGAAGUCAGUCGAAGAUACCAGCUGGCUGCAACUGUUUAUUAAAAACACAGCACUGUGCAAACACGAAAGUGGACGUAUACGGUGUGACGCCUGCCCGGUGCCGGAAGGUUAAUUGAUGGGGUCAGCGUAAGCGAAGCUCCUGAUCGAAGCCCCGGUAAACGGCGGCCGUAACUAUAACGGUCCUAAGGUAGCGAAAUUCCUUGUCGGGUAAGUUCCGACCUGCACGAAUGGCGUAAUGAUGGCCAGGCUGUCUCCACCCGAGACUCAGUGAAAUUGAACUCGCUGUGAAGAUGCAGUGUACCCGCGGCAAGACGGAAAGACCCCGUGAACCUUUACUAUAGCUUGACACUGAACAUUGAGCCUUGAUGUGUAGGAUAGGUGGGAGGCUUUGAAGUGUGGACGCCAGUCUGCAUGGAGCCGACCUUGAAAUACCACCCUUUAAUGUUUGAUGUUCUAACGUGGACCCGUAAUCCGGGUUGCGGACAGUGUCUGGUGGGUAGUUUGACUGGGGCGGUCUCCUCCUAAAGAGUAACGGAGGAGCACGAAGGUUGGCUAAUCCUGGUCGGACAUCAGGAGGUUAGUGCAAUGGCAUAAGCCAGCUUGACUGCGAGCGUGACGGCGCGAGCAGGUGCGAAAGCAGGUCAUAGUGAUCCGGUGGUUCUGAAUGGAAGGGCCAUCGCUCAACGGAUAAAAGGUACUCCGGGGAUAACAGGCUGAUACCGCCCAAGAGUUCAUAUCGACGGCGGUGUUUGGCACCUCGAUGUCGGCUCAUCACAUCCUGGGGCUGAAGUAGGUCCCAAGGGUAUGGCUGUUCGCCAUUUAAAGUGGUACGCGAGCUGGGUUUAGAACGUCGUGAGACAGUUCGGUCCCUAUCUGCCGUGGGCGCUGGAGAACUGAGGGGGGCUGCUCCUAGUACGAGAGGACCGGAGUGGACGCAUCACUGGUGUUCGGGUUGUCAUGCCAAUGGCACUGCCCGGUAGCUAAAUGCGGAAGAGAUAAGUGCUGAAAGCAUCUAAGCACGAAACUUGCCCCGAGAUGAGUUCUCCCUGAGACUUAGAGUCUCCUGAAGGAACGUUGAAGACGACGACGUUGAUAGGCCGGGUGUGUAAGCGCAGCGAUGCGUUGAGCUAACCGGUACUAAUGAACCGUGAGGCUUAACCUUACAACGCCGAAG
rnacentral:rRNA from 1 species